rnacentral:piRNA from 1 species
UGCUGUUUGGGGUGUUUCUUACAUGGGU